GUAACCUUUUCCUCCAUUGCAGCCUAUUCCACCUUGUAGCUUUCUUCUUCUACACAAUUUCUUCCACUCCUCUUCUUAUUUCUUCUUCUUUCAUCUUCAUCUCACCUUACUCCACCACUUCUAUUCCAUCACUCCUUAGGUAAUCCGCUAUUGAUUUUACAAGAACCAACAUCAAAAUCAUCACUGCAACAAUCUUCUUCACAACACUUAUUAUUGAUAUUUUGCCAUUAUCACCACAGUACCAAUUCAGAAGGAAAUUUUUUCGUAAUUUUUAAUUAAUAUUUUGCAGCUUCAAG
rnacentral:lncRNA from 1 species